rnacentral:misc_RNA from 1 species
ACCUGGCUCGUCUGCCAUGCAAUUUGCCACUUUGUAACACUCCCGAUUAGUGCCAUAGUGAAUUGCUAGUAAAACAUAAACAGUUACAAAACUACCCCCUCCCCACAAAACGGUUAUCACGAGCCGGCCGGCGUUUCUUUCUGCCUGCUCAUUACAAAGUUGUGGUUUAUACCGUGCGGUUGUGUGUUCCUGAAUUAGUAAAUCAGUGUGAUAAUAGUUUUAGUGAUGGCAAAUAUUAUUGACGUGGAUAUGGAUAUGGAUACCUGCGAACCAGACAGCACAGUGGAAAUCAUCGAAGUGGAGGAAGAGACAUUGCCAGAGGAGCGAACACCCCUGCAAGCUCUGAAUCAUGAGCUUGUGGAGAGGCAGCAUAUGUGUGCAGCUAUGGUGGCGGCUAGCAUUCGAGACAGAGAUCGCGUCCGCACCCAACUAGUGGAAGCCCGAAAACGACGCGCGAGCGUCACGACGGACUAUCUACAGGUGAUGCAGAUGAGUAAAAACGCCACCCGAAGCCUCGCGGACGUUAAAGCUUCGCUUAAGGACGCAAUGACAAAGCGCGUUGCAUUGCUGAAAGAAAUCGAAACUGAAAAGAUGUGGAGACCACCGAGCGCUGAAAUGAGUUUAAAAAAGCAACAGGAGCUAAAGGAAAGAGUGGAACAUAUGAGAGCUAUUUUGGGUAUGGGAAAAAUACGCACUCCCGAUGAUUGAUGACUUUGUAAUGAGGUCGAUUACAGAAAAGGGUAUGUACUUUUACACUCUCUUUUUACUAGUCUAAAGUUAUUAGUCGCAGACAAUGAUUUACGUAUGUAAAUAAUAAAUUGUAAUUAUUUUAGUUCAUUCAUUAAGAUAGUCAUUCUAAUCUAAAUAUCUUGUCAAUUUAAUGUAAGUAGAUAGAUAGGUACUAGUCUUAAAAUGUAAGUCACAAUAACUUCUCUCUAUGUCGUUUUUUCGUCAUGAUAUAUCAUUACAUAUUGAUUAUCAAAUGGGUAAUUAUUGACAAUUAACCAUUUUUGACAUGAAAGAACGGAGAAAUUGUGACAAACUACUGUGAUCGUCCGUUUGUCCUUGACAUUUUUAUGUAAUAUAAUGUUACGCUUGCUACUAUCGUGUUAUGCACGAAGACGCGUGCCUUGGGUGAUACUAUCAUGCCAACAAAGAUUAGAUUUUUCAAAUUCACGCGUCAUCGUGAAUGAUACGACCCGACCUAUUAAUAUUUUAAAGUAAUUUAAUGAUAUAAUGAUGUAUCGCAACUUGACUACAGAAAAUGUAUACGUAUAACUAGUCUAAAUAUAUUAAAAAACGGUUAACUUGAAGUGAUGUGGUGCUAAGUCAUAUAAUAUUGUUUUAUAAAAUGUACUGCUCUCUUCCGUGUAGUGUUAUAGAGUAAGAAGUACAUUUGCCCUGUGAUUCUUAAUUUUAAGUCGCAGAAAGCCAUAGGUAACUAUGUUAACAAUUAAUAUGAUUAUAUUUUUUAAUAGCAAGAUAGUGAAGUACCUAAUUAACUAAGUCUGACACGUUACAGUCGUGUAGGUGUUUUUGAUAAGACAAUUAUAUUUUCCCCUCACUAGCUCGGAAACACGUGUUUUGUCCUUUAAUACCAGCGGGUAAA